GACACGGUCCAGACUCCUACGGGAGGCAGCAGUGGGGAAUUUUGGACAAUGGGGGCAACCCUGAUCCAGCCAUGCCGCGUGCGGGAAGAAGGCCUUCGGGUUGUAAACCGCUUUUGUCAGGGACGAAAAGCUCCGGAGUAAUAUGCCGGAGUGCUGACGGUACCUGAAGAAUAAGCACCGGCUAACUACGUGCCAGCAGCCGCGGUAAUACGUAGGGUGCAAGCGUUAUCCGGAAUUAUUGGGCGUAAAGGGCUCGUAGGCGGUUCGUCGCGUCCGGUGUGAAAGUCCAUCGCUUAACGGUGGAUCUGCGCCGGGUACGGGCGGGCUGGAGUGCGGUAGGGGAGACUGGAAUUCCCGGUGUAACGGUGGAAUGUGUAGAUAUCGGGAAGAACACCAAUGGCGAAGGCAGGUCUCUGGGCCGUUACUGACGCUGAGGAGCGAAAGCGUGGGGAGCGAACAGGAUUAGAUACCCUGGUAGUCCACGCCGUAAACGGUGGAUGCUGGAUGUGGGGCCCGUUCCACGGGUUCCGUGUCGGAGCUAACGCGUUAAGCAUCCCGCCUGGGGAGUACGGCCGCAAGGCUAAAACUCAAAGAAAUUGACGGGGGCCCGCACAAGCGGCGGAGCAUGCGGAUUAAUUCGAUGCAACGCGAAGAACCUUACCUGGGCUUGACAUGUUCCCGACAGCCGUAGAGAUGCGGCCUCCCUUCGGGGCGGGUUCACAGGUGGUGCAUGGUCGUCGUCAGCUCGUGUCGUGAGAUGUUGGGUUAAGUCCCGCAACGAGCGCAACCCUCGCCCUGUGUUGCCAGCACGUCAUGGUGGGAACUCACGGGGGACCGCCGGGGUCAACUCGGAGGAAGGUGGGGAUGACGUCAGAUCAUCAUGCCCCUUACGUCCAGGGCUUCACGCAUGCUACAAUGGCCGGUACAACGGGAUGCGACAUGGCGACAUGGAGCGGAUCCCUGAAAACCGGUCUCAGUUCGGAUUGGAGUCUGCAACCCGACUCCAUGAAGGCGGAGUCGCUAGUAAUCGCGGAUCAGCAACGCCGCGGUGAAUGCGUUCCCGGGCCUUGUACACACCGCCCGUCAAGUCAUGAAAGUGGGCAGCACCCGAAGCCGGUGGCCUAACCCCUUGUGGGAUGGAGCCGUCUAAGGUGAGACUCGUGAUUGGGACUAAGUCGUAACAAGGUAGCCGUACCGGAAGGUGCGGCUG
rnacentral:rRNA from 1 species